AUGCAAGUCGAACGGUAACACAGGGGAGCUUGCUCCCUGGGUGACGAGCGGCGGACGGGUGAGUAAUGUCUGGGAAACUGCCUGAUGGAGGGGGAUAACUACUGGAAACGGUAGCUAAUACCGCAUAACGUCGCAAGACCAAAGAGGGGGACCUUCGGGCCUCUUGCCAUCAGGUGUGCCCAGAUGGGAUUAGCUAGUAGGUGGGGUAAUGGCUCACCUAGGCGACGAUCCCUAGCUGGUCUGAGAGGACGACCAGCCACACUGGAACUGAGACACGGUCCAGACUCCUACGGGAGGCAGCAGUGGGGAAUAUUGCACAAUGGGCGCAAGCCUGAUGCAGCCAUGCCGCGUGUGUGAAGAAGGCCUUCGGGUUGUAAAGCACUUUCAGCGAGGAGGAAGGUGGUGAGCUUAAUACGCUCAUCAAUUGACGUUACUCGCAGAAGAAGCACCGGCUAACUCCGUGCCAGCAGCCGCGGUAAUACGGAGGGUGCAAGCGUUAAUCGGAAUUACUGGGCGUAAAGCGCACGCAGGCGGUUUGUUAAGUCAGAUGUGAAAUCCCCGGGCUCAACCUGGGAACUGCAUUUGAAACUGGCAAGCUAGAGUCUCGUAGAGGGGGGUAGAAUUCCAGGUGUAGCGGUGAAAUGCGUAGAGACCUGGAGGAAUACCGGUGGCGAAGGCGGCCC
rnacentral:rRNA from 1 species